AAGACUAUAGACCUGCGGAGUACCUGCGGAAGGAUCAUUACCGUUGGGGGUCAAACUCCAAUCGGGAUAGACACCCUUGCCUUUGAGUACCUUUUCGUUUCCUCGGCGGGCUCGCCCGCCGGUGGACAUCCAAAAAAACCCCUUGUAAUAGCAGUAUCUUCUGAAUAAAAAGCAAAUAGUCAAAACUUUCAACAACGGAUCUCU
rnacentral:misc_RNA from 1 species